rnacentral:rRNA from 1 species
CACGUAGGGCGCAAGCGUUGUCCGGAAUUAUUGGGCGUAAAGAGCUCGUAGGCGGUCUGUUGCGUCCGCUGUGAAAACUCGGGGCUUAACCCCGAGCCUGCAGUGGAUACGGGCAGACUAGAGGUAGGUAGGGGAGAAUGGAAUUCCCGGUGUAGCGGUGAAAUGCGCAGAUAUCAGGAAGAACACCCGUGGCGAAGGCAGGUCUCUGGGCCACUACUGACGCUGAGAAGCGAAAGCAUGGGGAGCGAACAGG